rnacentral:rRNA from 1 species
CGGGGGGGAGCAAGCGUUGUUCGGAUUUACUGGGCGUAAAGGGCGCGUAGGCGGUAGCACAAGUCAGUUGUGAAAUCUCCGGGCUUAACUCGGAAAGGUCAAACUGAUACUGUGCGACUAGAGUGCAGAAGGGGCAACUGGAAUUCUCGGUGUAGCGGUGAAAUGCGUAGAUAUCGAGAGGAACACCUGCGGCGAAGGCGGGUUGCUGGGCUGACACUGACGCUGAUGCGCGAAAAGCCAGGGGAGCGAACGGGAUUAGAUACCCCGGUAGUCCUGGCCUUAAACGAUGGAUGCUUGGUGUCUGGAGUUUUAUAGUCUCCGGGUGCCGCAGCUAACGCGUUAAGCAUCCCGCCUGGGGAGUACGGUCGCAAGACUG